UAUAUUUCUUUAUUAUUUGACACGUGUAUUUGUUUAAUGGCCCUCUGCUCCACCAGUAUGGAAGCUCCAAAAGGAAAGAUACCAGAUUGAUCUUGAUCACCUCUGCCUCCCCAGCACCUAGUCUUCCUUGGCACAUCGUGAGUGCUCGGGUCAGGCUGUGCCACAUCCACCCAGCCUUGCCUGGGGUCAUUUAUCCUACAUGUACUCAGAUCACGUGAACUGGUGAUGGGCCACCCAUGUGCCUGCCUGGAGACUCCUAUUCACCCUUCAGAUCAAUAUCCCCCAAAUAAACUCCCAGUCACUCUGGCAUCCCA
rnacentral:lncRNA from 1 species